rfam:Candidatus Altiarchaeales archaeon WOR_SM1_SCG NODE_21_length_23710_cov_489.078_ID_73, whole genome shotgun sequence.
GAAAGCCGUGUGAGGGAAAACCUCAUGCACGGUUUGAUGAGGGGGCGGUGAGCGAAAGCUCACUGCUCUACUCUAC